AUGAACGCUAGCUACAGGCUUAACACAUGCAAGUCGAGGGGAAACGGCAUCGAAAGCUUGCUUUUGAUGGGCGUCGACCGGCGCACGGGUGAGUAACGCGUAUCCAACCUGCCCAUCACUUGGGAAUAACCUUGCGAAAGUAAGACUAAUGCCCAAUGACAUCCCACGAAGGCAUCCGAAUGGGAUUAAAGAUUUAUCGGUGAUGGAUGGGGAUGCGUCUGAUUAGCUUGUUGGCGGGGUGACGGCCCACCAAGGCAACGAUCAGUAGGGGUUCUGAGAGGAAGGUCCCCCACAUUGGAACUGAGACACGGUCCAAACUACUACGGGAGGCAGCAGUGAGGAAUAUUGGUCAAUGGGCGAGAGCCUGAACCAGCCAAGUAGCGUGCAGGAUGACGGCCCUAUGGGUUGUAAACUGCUUUUAUAAGGGAAUAAAGUGGGUCACGUGUGACUUUUUGCAUGUACCUUAUGAAUAAGGACCGGCUAAUUCCGUG
rnacentral:rRNA from 1 species